rnacentral:rRNA from 1 species
GACGAACGCUGGCGGCGUGCUUAACACAUGCAAGUCGAACGGAAAGGCCCUGCUUUUGUGGGGUGCUCGAGUGGCGAACGGGUGAGUAACACGUGAGUAACCUGCCCUUGACUUUGGGAUAACUUCAGGAAACUGGGGCUAAUACCGGAUAGGAGCUCCUGCUGCAUGGUGGGGGUUGGAAAGUUUCGGCGGUUGGGGAUGGACUCGCGGCUUAUCAGCUCGUUGGUGGGGUAGUGGCUUACCAAGGCUUUGACGGGUAGCCGGCCUGAGAGGGUGACCGGCCACAUUGGGACUGAGAUACGGCCCAGACUCCUACGGGAGGCAGCAGUGGGGAAUAUUGCACAAUGGGCGGAAGCCUGAUGCAGCAACGCCGCGUGCGGGAUGACGGCCUUCGGGUUGUAAACCGCUUUCGCCUGUGACGAAGCGUGAGUGACGGUAAUGGGUAAAGAGGCACCGGCUAACUACGUG